UGCAAACGUUUCUUUCCCAUU
rnacentral:piRNA from 1 species